GCAGGNGAACCUGCGGAAGGAUCAUUG
rnacentral:rRNA from 1 species